GACGAACGCUGGCGGCGUGCUUAACACAUGCAAGUCGAACGGUGAGGCUCCAGCUUGCUGGAGUGGAUCAGUGGCGAACGGGUGAGUAACACGUGAGCAACCUGCCCCUGACUCUGGAAUAAGCGCUGGAAACGGCGUCUAAUACUGGAUACGAGAAGGGUCCGCAUGGGCACUUUCUGGAAAGUUUUUCGGUUGGGGAUGGGCUCGCGGCCUAUCAGCUUGUUGGUGAGGUAAUGGCUCACCAAGGCGACGACGGGUAGCCGGCCUGAGAGGGCGACCGGCCACACUGGGACUGAGACACGGCCCAGACUCCUACGGGAGGCAGCAGUGGGGAAUAUUGCACAAUGGGCGAAAGCCUGAUGCAGCGACGCCGCGUGAGGGAUGACGGCCUUCGGGUUGUAAACCUCUUUCAGCAGGGAAGAAGCGAAAGUGACGGUACCUGCAGAAGAAGCACCGGCUAACUACGUG
rnacentral:rRNA from 1 species